CUGGGGUAUUUGGACAUGGGCGAAGCCUGAUCCAGCCAUGCCGCGUGUGGGAAGAAGGUCUUCGGGUUGUAAACCUCUUUUUUUUGGGAGGAAGGGGAGUUGGCUUUUACGAUAUUGUCUUGACCUUACCCACAGAAUACGCCCCGGCUAAAUAUGUGCCCGCAGCCGCGGAAA
rnacentral:rRNA from 1 species